GCCCGCGUGGCGGAACAGGCAGACGCAACGGACUUAAAAUCCGUUGACCGCAAGGUCGUACCGGUUCAAGUCCGGUCGCGGGUACCA
rnacentral:tRNA from 1 species